GCCGGGGUGCCCGAGUGGACUAAGGGGCUGGCCUUGAGAGCUUCAGGUUAGCCAGUGGGGAUCUCCCCGCGCGGGUUCAAAUCCCGCCCCCGGCG
rfam:Sulfolobus tokodaii str. 7 DNA, complete genome.